AGAGUUUGAUCCUGGCUCAGGAUGAACGCUGGCGGUAUGCCUAACACAUGCAAGUCGUACGAGAGUUUUUAACUCAAGUGGCGGACGGGUGAGUAACACGUGAGAAUUUGCCUUUAGGAGGGGGAUAACAGAGUGAAAACGCUGCUAAUACCCCAUAUGCUUUCGAGUGAAAUGGAUUUAUUCGCCUAAAGAGAAGCUCGCGGCUGAUUAGCUUGUUGGUAAGGUAAUGGCUUACCAAGGCGACGAUCAGUAUCUGGUUUGAGAGGACGAUCAGACACACUGGAACUGAGACACGGUCCAGACUCCUACGGGAGGCAGCAGUGGGGAAUUUUCCGCAAUGGGCGAAAGCCUGACGGAGCAAUACCGCGUGAGGGAAGACUGCCUAUGGGUUGUAAACCUCUUUUUUCAGGGAGGAAUAAAUGACGUGUACCUGAAGAAUAAGCAUCGGCUAACUCCGUGCCAGCAGCCGCGGUAAGACGGAGGAUGCAAGUGUUAUCCGGAAUCACUGGGCGUAAAGCGUCUGUAGGUGGUUUAAUAAGUCAACUGUUAAAUCUUGAGGCUCAACUUCAAAAUCGCAGUCGAAACUAUUAGACUAGAGUAUAGUAGAGGUAAAGGGAAUUUCCAGUGGAGCGGUGAAAUGCGUAGAUAUUGGAAAGAACACCGAUGGCGAAGGCACUUUACUGGGCUAUUACUGACACUCAGAGACGAAAGCUAGGGUAGCAAAUGGGAUUAGAUACCCCAGUAGUCCUAGCCGUAAACAAUGGAUACUAGAUGUUGGACAGAUCGACCUUUGGCAGCACCACAGGCUGGAUCCCAGCAUCGACUUCGAGACUCAGUUCGAAAACGUCCUUGAACUAAAGAUUCGAGGACUUGUCGACCAGAUUGGUGUCUCCAACUACGACGCCAAUCAGCUGAAGAUUGCACUAGAUAUCGCAGGCACUCCCGCCGAAGGAGGCGUGGUGUCUAUUCAGAACGAGUUCUCUCCUCGCUACCGCUACGACCUAGAUGUUCUUGAGGUCUGUGAAGAGCAUGAAAUUACCUUCCUGCCAUGGUCUCCGCUUGGGGGAGUCAGAACCAAGAGCGAGAUCCAGUCUUCUUCCGCAUUCGAGGAGGUAUCAGAGAAGUUGGGAGUGAGCCCAUUCGCACUUGCUCUUGCCUGGGAGAUUCGCUAUUCGGAGGCAGUAUUGCCAAUACCGGGAGCCACCAGG
rnacentral:rRNA from 1 species